GCGUAAAUUGCAAUUCAAUUUAAGCCAAUGUUUUAAAUUGCAUUUUGAUUUCAUCUUCAUUACAGUAUUCCACUUAUUAUGUGUGGCAGUGUGUGAUACAAUUAAAUAAACAUUUAACAAAUCGUGAAGUUUUCUGCAAGAAUAUGUGCAAAACUGUUUGUAAUGGCAACCGUUCAAAAUAUGGGCGUGCGGUUUUUUUUAUUUAAUUACAUUAAAUUGUAUUUUAUCAAAUGAGCCCAUUCAGGUGUUCCACCACUCUCUGUUGCUCUCUCGCACUGAUUGAUCGAAUCGUUCCCAUGCGAAAGAAAGGGAAGCAAAGGUUUGAUUUAUUUUUUGUUAAUACUGAUAUAAAUCGGAUUUUGGUCGGCUGUUAUGAUCAUUGAUUGUGUAGAAUUGAUUGAAAUUAACUUUAAUAGAAAAAAAAUAAUUUAAUUUAAUUUAUUAUAAUUUAUUUUAAUUUUAUUCAAAAUGAAUUAAUUUAAUUUAAUUUAAUAGAAUUUAAUUUAUUCGAAUUUAAUUCAAUUUAAUUUAAUUCAAUGUAAUUUAAUUUAAUUUAAUUUUAAUUAAUUCCAUAACAUUUCAUUUCAUUUCAUUUCAUGUCGUUUCAUGUCGUUUCAUGUCAUUUCAUGUCAUUUCAUGCACAGCAAUAUCGCAAUAUCGAACAUAUGGCACAACCCCCACCCACAAAAAACAACACCGGCAACAGCUGUUGAUACGGUGCGCGAUCCGUUUGCCUUAGCGCGGUAUCGAUGUGAAAGAAAGGGAAGCAAAGGUUUGAUUUAUUUUUUGUUAAUACUGUUAUAAAUCGGAUUUUGGUCGGUUGUUAUGAUCAUUGAUUGUGUAGAAUUGAUUGAAAUAAAGUUUAACAGAAACAAAAUAAUUUAAUUUAAUUUAUUACAAUUUAUUUUAAUUUUAUUAAAAACGAAAUAAUUUAAAUUAAUUUAAUAGCAUUUAAUUUAAUUUAAUUGAACUAUAUUUCAAUUCAUUUCAUUUCAUUCAAUACCACGCGCCGCAAUAACGCGCGCGCAUAAAUACGCACGCAUGCAACCGCACGCAACAGCUGAUCAAACGUAUGCCACCACAACGCGACACCGUCAACAGCUGUUGAUACGGUGCGCUUUCCGUUUGCCUUAGCGUGGUAUCGAUGUGAACCGUGCCGCGGUCGAGGUUGAAAUGAGCUCGUCCAGGUGGGUUUCCCCCACUCUCGCGUUUUCUCCCGCGCACUAAUUGGUCGAAGCGUUCCCAUACCGAAGAGAGGGAAUGGCAAAUGUUGGCUGAAUUGUAAAUGGUAUGUCUGAAAUCGGAUAUCCGCUUUUAUAGCAAUUAAUAUUUAUUUUAUUUAAAAUUAAUUACACUAAAUGAAAUUAAUUUCACUGCAAUGCACAUAAGUUAAGUUAAAUAGAAUGUAUGAAGGUGGUUUGAAAUUAUUUAAUGUAAAAUGUUAAUAAAUGUAUUCAUUUAUUUAAUUAAUUAUUGGAAUUAUAGUGAAGUGUAUUAAAUUGCAUAAAAUGAAAUAAUUGUUUAAAUUUAUUUAUUCAAUUAAGUGUUAUGAAAUGUGAAGAAUGUAGUGUAAUUU